rnacentral:rRNA from 1 species
GCUUACGGCCACACCGCCUGGUUCACGCCGGAUCUCAGAAGCUAAGAUAGGUUGGGCCUGGUUAGUACUUGGAUGGGAGACCGCCUAGGAAUACCAGGUGCUGUAAGCC